rnacentral:rRNA from 1 species
UAACACGUGGGUAACCUGCCCAUAAGACUGGGAUAACUCCGGGAAACCGGGGCUAAUACCGGAUAACAUUUUGAACCGCAUGGUUCGAAAUUGAAAGGCGGCUUCGGCUGUCACUUAUGGAUGGACCCGCGUCGCAUUAGCUAGUUGGUGAGGUAACGGCUCACCAAGGCAACGAUGCGUAGCCGACCUGAGAGGGUGAUCGGCCACACUGGGACUGAGACACGGCCCAGACUCCUACGGGAGGCAGCAGUAGGGAAUCUUCCGCAAUGGACGAAAGUCUGACGGAGCAACGCCGCGUGAGUGAUGAAGGCUUUCGGGUCGUAAAACUCUGUUGUUAGGGAAGAACAAGUGCUAGUUGAAUAAGCUGGCACCUUGACGGUACCUAACCAGAAAGCCACGGCUAACUACGUGCCAGCAGCCGCGGUAAUACGUAGGUGGCAAGCGUUAUCCGGAAUUAUUGGGCGUAAAGCGCGCGCAGGUGGUUUCUUAAGUCUGAUGUGAAAGCCCACGGCUCAACCGUGGAGGGUCAUUGGAAACUGGGAGACUUGAGUGCAGAAGAGGAAAGUGGAAUUCCAUGUGUAGCGGUG